UACGGGGGGGGCAAGCGUUGUUCGGAAUUACUGGGCGUAAAGGGCUCGUAGGCGGCCAACUAAGUCAGACGUGAAAUCCCUCGGCUUAACCGGGGAACUGCGUCUGAUACUGGAUGGCUUGAGUUCGGGAGAGGGAUGCGGAAUUCCAGGUGUAGCGGUGAGAUGCGUAGAUAUCUGGAGGAACACCGGUGGCGAAGGCGGCAUCCUGGACCGAGACUGACGCUGAGGAGCGAAAGCCAGGGGAGCAAACGGG
rnacentral:rRNA from 1 species